rnacentral:rRNA from 1 species
GAUGAACGCUGGCGCCGUGCCUAAUACAUGCAAGUCGAGCGAACGGACGAGAAGCUUGCUUCUCUGAUGUUAGCGGCGGACGGGUGAGUAACACGUGGAUAACCUACCUAUAAGACUGGGAUAACUUCGGGAAACCGGAGCUAAUACCGGAUAAUAUUUUGAACCGCAUGGUUCAAAAGUGAAAGACGGUCUUGCUGUCACUUAUAGAUGGAUCCGCGCUGCAUUAGCUAGUUGGUAAGGUAACGGCUUACCAAGGCAACGAUGCAUAGCCGACCUGAGAGGGUGAUCGGCCACACUGGAACUGAGACACGGUCCAGACUCCUACGGGGGGCAGCAGUAGGGAAUCUUCCGCAAUGGGCGAAAGCCUGACGGAGCAACGCCGCGUGAGUGAUGAAGGUCUUCGGAUCGUAAAACUCUGUUAUUAGGGAAGAACAUAUGUGUAAGUAACUGUGCACAUCUUGACGGUACCUAAUCAGAAAGCCACGGCUAACUACGUG